rnacentral:rRNA from 1 species
CCUACGGGAGGCAGCAGUAGGGAAUUUUCGUCAAUGGGCGCAAGCCUGAACGAGCGAUGCCGCGUGAGUGAAGAAGGCCUUCGGGUCGUAAAGCUCUGUUGCCGGGGAAAAAAGUCAGCAUCAGGAAAUGGGUGCUGCCGGAUGGUGCCGCGCCAGCAUGUGCCAGCUAACUACGUGCCAGCAGCCGCGGUAAGACGUCGGGGGCGAGCGUUAGCCGGAAUGAGUGGGCGUAUAGGGUGCGCAGGCGGUCCUGCAAGUCUGGAGUGAAACGCAUGAGCUCAACUCCUGCAUGGCUGUCGGAACGGGAGGAGUGGAGAAGAGGAGGGUGGGAUGCAAGGCCAAGUGUAGCGGUA